UUUCGAUGCCUGGCUUAAACACCUCCC
rnacentral:piRNA from 1 species